rnacentral:lncRNA from 1 species
UUUUCUUCUUUUGGACAGUGCGAUGACAGUGUUUACUUCUCAUGUACCGUUUGGCCCGAUCAGGCUUAUUCUUCUUAAUAAGGUCGAGCUGCUAUCGAUGCUUGCCCUAAUGGGAGACCUAAUGCUUUGAGUUUUCUUGCUCUUCUUUAUGAUCUCUUUCAGCACCAUCGGAGCUCCCAUGUCGUCAUAAAUCCAAUCUGUGGUCGCUUCUCUCCUGCAACCGAAGAGGCUCCUCUCUCGUAGCACCGAGAAGUGCAAACGCCGCUCAUCGGGAGAUUUUUUUUGCUGAUAUGUCCCAGGUUAUAGACAUAGAACCUGUGGAAGGGAUCAAGAAUGUCCCCCAAUCCCCAACUGGCCCAACUUUUUGGUUUGACAUAUCUUGAAAGGAGAAAACUCCGAUCGCUCGGAUGAUGAAGAAUAAAGGAGGCAUGG